UACGUAGGGUGCGAGCGUUGUCCGGAAUUAUUGGGCGUAAAGGGCUCGUAGGCGGUUUGUCGCGUCGGGAGUGAAAUCCACUGGCUUAACUGGUGGCUUGCUUUCGAUACGGGCAGACUGGAGGUAUGCAGGGGAGAACGGAAUUGCCUGGUGUAGCGGUGAAAUGCGCAGAUAUCAGGAGGAACACCGGUGGCGAAGGCGGUCUC
rnacentral:rRNA from 1 species